GACGAACGCUGGCGGCGUGCUUAACACAUGCAAGUCGAACGGAAAGACCCUGCUUUUGCGUGGUUCUCGAUUGGCGCAGGGGGGAGUAACACAUGAGUAACCUGCCCUUAACUUAGUGAUAACUUCAGGAGACUGGGGCUAAUACCCGAGAGGAGCUCCUGCACCACGGGGGUGAUUGGAAAGAUUCGGCGGUGCUGGAUGGACUCGCGGCUUAUCAGCUGGUUGGUGGGGUAGGUGCUUACCAAGGCUUUGACGGGUAGCCGGCCUGAGAGGUUGAACGGCCACAUUGGGCCUGCGAUAGGGAGCAGACUGGUAUGGGAGGCAGUAGUGGGGAACAUUGCACAAUGGGGGGAAGCCUGAUGCAGAAAUGCCGCGUGCGGGAUGACGGCUUUCGGGUUGUAAACAGCUUUCGCCUGUGACGAAGCGUGAGUGACGGUAAUGGGUAAAGAAGCACCGGCUAACUACGUG
rnacentral:rRNA from 1 species